rnacentral:lncRNA from 10 species
GUCAAUUUGAUCCUGUCGUUAUGAUGCUAGCUGUUUUGCCCGUUAGUUGAUGCAGUUUCUUCAUAGUGUUGAUGGUCUUUACAAUGUGGUAUGUUUUCGCAGUGGCUGGUACCGGUUGUUUCUUUCCAUGUUUAGUGCUUCCUUCAGGAGCUCUUAUAAAGCAGGGCGGGUGGUGACAAAAUCUCUCAGCAUUUGCUUGUCUGGAAAGGAUUUUAUUUUUCCUUUGCUUAUGAAGCUUAGUUUGGCUGGAUAUGAAAUUCUGGGUUGAA